UUGGGCGACUGUCAAUCAAGUUUCGGGGAAGAAUAUUGUCUAUGUGUUCUUUGUGGGUAACGACAGGAGGAACAACAAGAAGUUGGAAAUGGAGUUCAACGAACACCAUGAUGUUGUGAUGGAAGAUUUUGAUGAAACGUACAAGAAUCUGACUCUGAAAACUCAAGGCCAACUGAAGUGGAUCACGUACUUUUGCCCGAACAUUAAAUACGCAAUACACGUUGACGAUGAUGUGUUCGUAGAUAUCAAACAAGUCGUUAAUAUGUUGGUUGAACAAACUGAUGAUAACAGGAAACUUUUCUGCGCCAAAU